rnacentral:tmRNA from 1 species
GGGCCCGACCGGUUUUGACAGUAGGCGCGGUUGAUAAGUAAGCAUGUAGUGCGUUGUGGAUAUGGCACUUUAAUACUAAUUCUCAAAACUAUAAUUGGCGAAGAUAACUCUUACGCUAUGGCUGCUUAAUCUCAGAUUAAGUGUCCUUUGCAACCCUCGUAGCGUCUUUGCUUAGCGACGAGAAUUUUGCAUCAUAAAUUAGCAAAUUGGUUUAGUGAUGAUGUUACCUAAAGCAAUAUUAGCAUCUAAGUUUGAGUUUGGUUUGAAUUUAUGCCUGGCUUGAAUCGAAAAUUAAAUAAGUUCUAAACGUGUAGAAAGCUUAGCAAUUCCUUAUUUGGACCAGGGUUCGACUCCCUGCGGGUCCAC